UGUGAAUGUAGCUCAGUGGUAGAGCGCUUGCCUAGCAUGUGUGAGGUAUUGGGUUCCAUCCUCAACACCACAA
rnacentral:tRNA from 1 species